UUCUCAUUAUGACAGCACUACUAGUCAUUUGAAGAAUACAUUCAUCUAAAUAAACACACUCCAAAGUGAACCAAAUGCUAAUGCACAUUUUAUUGGAUGAAAAGACAAACAAUAUAAUUAUACUUGAAUUUUAGAAAAUCAAAGGUAGUAAAACAAGUUUACACCAGAGCCCAGGGCAGGGUUUAUAAGUUAGCCAUACACACAUUCUCUCCAAGCCACACAAGCCUGGAAAGUUUGCUAAAAUGAGCUGAGGGUUACUUCACCAGACUAACAAAAAGGAAAAUGUCUAUCAGUUUUUCUUUUGUUCUUUCCAGAUCCUGCUCAAGUGCACACUGAGCCAGCAGGUUCACCAGAAAGCUAUUGAGCAUUGGCUGGAACACAUUAUGCAGGGUGAAUUUCUUCUGGAAUGUUGCCAAAGGUUUUUUAUGCUUCUGUGAAAACCUACCUCAGAAAUGAAGAAAAGAAGAGAGAAACAUUUCUGACAUUUUGAUGAAGCCUCUGAACAUUUUGCUGGAUAUUAGUUAUAUCCUUGGACUUAGUAGUUAAGUGAGCCAAUACAUAGUCUUUUUUUCAGGUUCAGCUAGUUUGUGUUGAGUUUGUAUUACUUGCAAACAAUGAAUACUCUGUUUCUCCAUUCUAGAGGGACUGAUGUGACUAGGCAGGUUGUCAAGACAAAAACUCAGGGGAAGAAGGCAGAUGCUUGACUGUGAAACCUGGGGUAUCUGGCCUGGUAGGACCAGAAGCAUGGAAUU
rnacentral:lncRNA from 12 species